rnacentral:rRNA from 1 species
UUUUUAUUGAGAGUUUGAUCCUGGCUCAGGACGAACGCUGGCGGCGUGCUUAACACAUGCAAGU